UAUUAUUCAAAUUUAAUCUAAUUCAAUUAUUAUGUUGUGAAAAAUAAAUUAAACUUUAAAUUAAUCUGAUCAAAAUGACUAAAAAUUAAAUUUAAUCACUCUAAUUAAAAUAAUUAUUCAAAUUGAUCACUACUAUUAACAGAUUGCUAAGGUUUUUUAUUAUUAUUAAAAUUAGAAACCUCUAUAUAAUUAGUUCAAAAACACUUCAAAUUUAUCCUUAAACAAUACAAGAAAAUAAAAAAAUAAAAAAAAAACUCCAAAUCCAACACAAUGGAACACUCAAUUAGGUGAAGAUCAUUGGUACUAAACCAAGCCUUAAAAAGCACAACUAUUUCAAACAAACCCC
rnacentral:lncRNA from 1 species